UUUCCGGGCGGCCGAAGUAGGGGUGUUCAUGGCUUCGCUGCGUGGUCGUGGCCCGUGGGCGCCCACCCGCCACACCUCCACGCCGCGCCCGGGCCUUGCUGGGCGGACCGCCGGAGGCGCCUGUGGACUCGGAGCCUUCAGGGGGGCGCGCCCAGUGGAGAAGAGGCGGGAACGAUGAGGGAGCGGUCCCCGUCCACCCACGCGGCGCAAGCUCGUCUGACAACAGGAGGCAGGAGCCAGCUGCCAGCGAGGGGAUGAGCAGAACAGGUGGAGAGGCCAGUGCUGUCGCAGCUGCACCAGACCUGGGGCCACGUGCUCAGGAGCCGUUCUGCUCCGCUGUUCUGCUCCCCUGGUCGAGCUGAGAGGGCCGAGGUCUGGCGCCGGGUGGUCCAGGAAGCGUCUGGCGUUCUGUCUACUGUUGGGGCUGCGCUGGACACGCCCAGGCACCCUCCCUGGCUGAGGGGGGAGCCGAGAGCCAGGAAGACCUGCCCCGCGGACAUCACAGCAGCCGACGUGACGCAGAGCGGCCGGUGCAGGCCUGUCGGAGAGCUGGGGCGGCCGUGACCUCGGGACGAGGAGGCCGUCGGUGCAGGUCGCUGGGAGCAGCCUGUGCUAGGCUGGGCCCCUACCGUCCUCUGUGUGGGACCCAUGCAAUAAAGUGGCACCUUUUGUUUACAGCACACA